rnacentral:lncRNA from 1 species
CAGAUGUUUGUCCUCACGAGGAAGUUGAGCACGACCAUGACGUCAAAGUGCCCAGGGAUGAAAUCAGCUUAAUUUUGUUCUAGGAGAGCUUCUCAUCCACAGGAAUGGACCCUUCACACUCUGAGUCUGGUGGGUGUUAGCCUCUAAUCCAGCAGACUCAUGAGUGUUUUCCUGAAGCCUUGCUUGUAUUAUUUUUCUCUGAUGCUUUAGGCUGGUGGAGGAAUGCAACUUACUGUAAGGGGUCUGGAACUCUAAAACCUGGGUGGUAAAAAGCAGGAUUCUUGUAAUAUGUAGCAGAUUUUCCAUUGAGGCUUCCCUGACCCUGUAGAAUUCCUGUGCAUCCUGUGAUGGCAGGGCAUGUGUUCUUGUGCCUGCAGCUGUACAUUUCCUGUGGCCUCAGGAGGAUCUUUUGAGCUUGGAGAGGACUCAGGCUUGUUGCUCUUCAUUUUGUGACCCUGCUCUUUUGCUGGGAAACCAAGCCAUUGAACUCCUCACUAAACCAACACAAACAGAUGAAGUUAGAAGGCUGGAAGCUCUCCCUCAGCUCCAGGACUUUCUUCUUGUUUUCUUUCGGCAUUUGUGGAAUGUAAAGUUGAUCACAUGAACCAAAAUACAUCUGCUUACCUGUCUUCCUAUGCUCAAGUGAACACCUUGUUCAUGCCUGUGAAACAUUACAAUCAAACUAGAGGGGAAACAAAGCUCCACAGCUCUGCACUCAGGUUAGCUUUAACCUGAGCUCUUAAGGUAACGAGAUGUGUGAAUGGGGCCACAGUGCUUAAACUCAUGCUGCUUCCUUUUGCAUUGUGUCCUUUGCAAGGACCAGAGAGCUCCUCAAACUUACCAGGAAGUGUUGAGGAAUUUAGCAUUGCAGGCACUAACAGAUUCUUAGGAGGAAAUUAGAAGGGGUGAGUAAAUUGCUUACUAGUGAGUCAUCAGUUUCAAAAACACACCUUAUUUAUGAAACUUAUUGGACAUACUAUGACUUCCUUCUAUUAAACACAGAAUUAAAAGAUCAUUAAAUGCAUUCAUUUGUUUGGAUUCGGAUUUUCUCCAAAAUCAAUACACUCAUGGAAUC